ACCUCUCUCUUGAGCUCUUUCCUUUGAGACGCUUUUGAGAUUCUGUGCUCUGCUGAAAGAAGGCUUGGAAAUGCAGAACGGUGCCAGCUCUUGGGACUGAUAAGUUUGAGCCAGUUUGGAUCCAUUGGAGUCAAGCUGCCUGGAAUCAACUUCUAGUUGUGGAUUGGGGGCUCCAUAGUGCUGGUCUUCCAUCCUAUCAUGAAGCUCUGUUCCCCUUCUCUAACCAAAUGAUACUUACCUUAACAUCAUGGGAACUCACCUCUGGAGCCCUUCUGUGUGGAACCUUCAUAAACUUCCUUGCAUUGUCCUGCCCGAUGAAGCUUAGAACCUCGGAACCCAUCUUGAACCCAAGAGUUCCACUAGAACAGCAUCUGUUCAACAUCUUUCUUCUUACCAGGACUCCCAAAGUGAAGUGUCCAUGGGUGCCAAAGCAUCCUUAA
rnacentral:lncRNA from 1 species